UACGUAGGGGGGCUAGCGUUGUCCGGAAUCAUUGGGCGUAAAGCGCGUGUAGGCGGUCCGGUAAGUCCGCUGUGAAAGUCGGGGGCUCAACCCUCGGAAUGCCGGUGGAUACUGUCGGGCUUGAGUACGGGAGAGGCGAGUGGAAUUCCUGGUGUAGCGGUGAAAUGCGCAGAUAGUCAGGAGGAACACCAGUAUGUGAAGGC
rnacentral:rRNA from 1 species